rnacentral:lncRNA from 1 species
AUAAUGAACUACUUAGUUAAGGUUGACUAUCAGAAAUAGAUAAUAGUACUCCCUAAUAUCCAAUAAGAUAACUCGAGAUAUUGUAACCCAUACGAUGGGAAAGAGAACAUCAUUAUAAGGUUCUGAACCUCUCCAAGAAGAGGCAGAACAAAUUAAUAUCAUCAAUAAAAAGCUUUCCAUAUAUUUCUUCUUAAUACAAAAAAGCUUGCUUCUUGUUCCUUUUAUUCGGUCUUUUGAUUUAUUAUGAUAUGCUAUGAUUGGCCCUUAAAUUAUUUUGACUGUUUUAUGCUUAUAAAGUGCAAGAUAACUUUGAGCUAAAUAAUUUGGCACCGCCUAUGGAGAUUUCAUAGCAGCACCCUAAAGCCCAUUACGACUACCUCAGUCAUCAAUCCGGCGUUUGUAACGCCCCUCAACGAUGUGUUUGGACUCCGAGCACAACACCCCGAACAACGACACCAAGUUAUCCUCUUGAAGCAGCAUGUUCUGCUCUGUGGGAAUCUCAACAUAGCGAAACCGCCUCUCUGCAUGCACCGUCGAGUUGGUGAGCCCUUCUUGGAACAUACGAACGUCGUCAGGAUCCAAGUCAGACUCGGAUUCGUACUCCUCUCCUGCAACUCCCCUUCCUCCCUCCGCCGACUGAGAAGAUGAGGCUCCUGCUCCCACAACCAAAUUGGCACUUAUUUCUCCAACAAAAACAGAUGCUGAGGAACUACCUCCCCUCUCAGCAAGUGGGACUGUCAACUGAGUCGCCGAAGUGACGGUAUCAUCAUGGCCUGAGACAACUGGGGAAACCCCCACUGUGUGUUCACCCUGAAAGGAGGUGUCUCCACCACAUUCCUCUCCGCAUCCUAUGGUGGAGAAUCCAAACUUAUCACCACUGGAGGAGCCGACGUAAAUACAAUCAUAUGCCUAACCAGUGGCCAAAAGCUGAAUUUAACAAGUGAAAGACUUAUGUGCAUGGUUUCAAGUCUUUAGGAACUCAGUAGCGCACACCAACAAAUGAUCAGUCCUGAUGUAGGAGAAAUGCUCAUAAGGGUGAGAGUCGACCACGUCAUCUAAUUAGGUAUUCAAACCCCCUAUCCCAUGAGGGAUCGCCCGAAUCAUGGUACCACGGACCCUCAGAGGGGCGUAAAGAGUCAGCACGUGUUGGAGUAUAACCUCCCUUUAAGCCAGUUCCACAUAUUUAAUAAACAUUGCGAGAAGGUUGUAAAGAGGCAGAACAAGCUGGCCCGGGCACACCCUGUAAUGAAGGCAGAAGUCGACCACCAACAUAGGAAGAGGGAGCCUCAAUCCCAACUGUAAGGGAUAAGCGUAGAAGACGCAAUACCCUCUACGGUCGACGUGAACCCUCUCCUCGCGUCUAGCACGGGAAAUAUCAGCGAAGCAGGGGAUAUCCCACUAUUCCCGUAACUAUGCAAUACCCACUUCCCCCAUCAAUGGGGCCUCAUCAACCUGAUCUUCUCCCACCGGUGAAGUCAGUAGCCAGACCUCCGGGCAAGGAUAGAAUAUCGUUCGCUGAUGGAACCCAGUCGAUCUCCGCCGAUCCAGUGGCUCUCACUACAGUAGAUGUCCCUUCAGCCACCGGAAGAAUAACCGGAAGAGUCGCUAGAGUGAGGUUGUUGAGAGAACUACUUGCCAUUGCGAUUGAUGGGAAAGAAAAGGAUGAGAUUCAAUGAGACAAAAACAAAGAUGGUGUUAAAUGAAGAACCAGGUAGAAGAUGAACUAACGAUAAAGGAAGUUCCUUCAGAAAUCUCACCUAGACAAAUAAAGAAAGUGUGAGAAAUGACUAACACAACUCCUUAUUUAUAGGGAACACAAGUGGCUUUCACGAAUUCCAAUAGCAAUAAUUAACUAUUU